rnacentral:piRNA from 1 species
GGCUGAUGUAUACGACCUCUUGCACUGCC